rnacentral:rRNA from 1 species
UACGUAGGGGGCGAGCGUUGCCCGGAUUUACUGGGCGUAAAGAGCGUGUAGGCGGCCAGGUAGGUCUGCUGUGAAAACUCGAGGCUCAACCUCGAGACGGCGGCGGAAACCAUCUGGCUAGAGUCCGGAAGAGGAGAGUGGAAUUCCUGGUGUAGCGGUGAAAUGCGCAGAUAUCAGGAAGAACACCCGUGGCGAAGGCGGCUCUCUGGGACGGUACUGACGCUGAGACGCGAAAGCGUGGGGAGCGAACAGG